rnacentral:rRNA from 1 species
AUUGAACGCUGGCGGCAUGCUUUACACAUGCAAGUCGAACGGUAACAGGCCGCAAGGUGCUGACGAGUGGCGAACGGGUGAGUAAUGCAUCGGAACGUGCCCAGUCGUGGGGGAUAACUACUCGAAAGAGUAGCUAAUACCGCAUACGAUCUAUGGAUGAAAGCGGGGGACCGUAAGGCCUCGCGCGAUUGGAGCGGCCGAUGUCAGAUUAGGUAGUUGGUGGGGUAAAGGCUCACCAAGCCAACGAUCUGUAGCUGGUCUGAGAGGACGACCAGCCACACUGGGACUGAGACACGGCCCAGACUCCUACGGGAGGCAGCAGUGGGGAAUUUUGGACAAUGGGCGCAAGCCUGAUCCAGCAAUGCCGCGUGCAGGAAGAGGCCUUCGGGUUGUAAACUGCUUUUGUACGGAACGAAACGGCUCUGGUUAAUACCCGGGGCUAAUGACGGUACCGUAAGAAUAAGCACCGGCUAACUACGUG